GCCAGACUCCUACGGGAGGCAGCAGUGGGGAAUAUUGGGCAAUGGGCGCAAGCCUGACCCAGCAACGCCGCGUGAAGGAAGAAGGCUUUCGGGUUGUAAACUUCUUUUGACAGGGAAGAGCAGAAGACGGUACCUGUCGAAUAAGCCACGGCUAACUACGUGCCAGCAGCCGCGGUAAUACGUAGGUGGCAAGCGUUGUCCGGAUUUACUGGGUGUAAAGGGCGUGUAGCCGGGCUGACAAGUCAGAUGUGAAAUCCGGAGGCUCAACCCCCGAACUGCAUUUGAAACUGUUGGUCUUGAGUAUCGGAGAGGCAGGCGGAAUUCCUAGUGUAGCGGUGAAAUGCGUAGAUAUUAGGAGGAACACCAGUGGCGAAGGCGGCCUGCUGGACGACAACUGACGGUGAGGCGCGAAAGCGUGGGGAGCAAACAGGAUUAGAUACCCGCGUAA
rnacentral:rRNA from 1 species